AUACGGAGGGUGCAAACGUUGUUCGGAAUUACUGGGCGUUAAGCGCGCGUAGGCGGUUUGUUAAGUCAGAUGUGAAAGUCCACAGCUCAACUGUGGAAGUGCAUUUGAAACUGGCAGACUUGAGUACUGGAGGGGGUGGUGGAAUUCCCGGUGUAGAGGUGAAAUUCGUAGAUAUCGGGAGGAAUACCGGUGGCGAAGGCGACCACCUGGCCAGAUACUGACGCUGAGGUGCGAAAGCGUGGGGAGCAAACAGGAUUAGAUACCCUAGUAGUCC
rnacentral:rRNA from 1 species